GUGGAAGCACAGUGGAAUCCUGGAACCUGAACUUACAACCUGUCUCCUCCAACUAAUGGAUACCUGGACCCCUCCAUCCAACACUGGCACGAUUGCUGUGAAGAUCCUCUUUAGACCAUGGACACUGGGGAAUCCAAUGCCUCACAUUGCCUAGAUAAAGCACUCAGGAAACUCCAUGGAAGAGGAGAUAGAGUGUAAGAGCCAGAUGGAAUGGAAGACACCAGAAGAACAAGCCUCUCUACAUCAGCUGGGAAAAGCUCACAUGAAGUCACAGAGACUGAAGCAGCAAGCACAGCUCUCCAAUUAAGGUGAUACUUAGAAAUUACCUAGGGAAAAACAAAUAAAUGAAGCAAUAAAAAAUGAAUUAGGAGGGAAGAUGGAAAUGUGUGAAGGAUGGAAGAAAACACUCAAAGAAGUCAGAUCAGAAGAAUCACUGUCACAACAAAUUAAAGCUCUUAAUUGAAGGCCUGGAAGAAUGAAGCAAACUAUGACCAAUAGUUCUUUUUUACCAGGGAUGUAUAUACUCUCCCAGGUAACUUUGUACAUGAGGGUUUUGAUUUUCCCUUACCUCGUAGGAAGCUGGGAUUAUAGCUAUAUAUUGUUUCUACUUUUCU
rnacentral:lncRNA from 1 species